GUCAAAUCGAAUUUUUACCAUAAACCUAUCUCCUCAGCAAAAGCUGAUACAAUCAUAAAAGAGAGAAAAAAACCAAAACAGAAAAUAUGCGGGUAAAAUAAGAUUCAUUAAAUAAGAGAAGAUUACACCUGACUCCUCUUCUGCACAGAGUAGCUACAACCCGAGCCCUCUUUCUUGAAUCUCUCCUACCCUUCUCUCGUCUUCUAUAAUUCCACAAAAAAAAUAAUCAUCCACGCGCACCCGUGCACUAGGUGCACUCAACUCGUUAACUCUCUCUCUCUUUCACUUUUUUCUCUCGGGUACAACACACCCCACAAGAGACUCUCUUUUUUCUCUUGACCCAAAAAGAGAGCCACAAUGCCUAUUUAUAAUGCUCAACUUAAAACGUACCCCAAUUCUAAUAUAUUUAGGAUUCCGACUUUAAUUAAUAUCUAAAUAUAUUUUAAUUAAUCUCUAAUAUAUUUAAAUAUUAAUCCUAAUCUAAUUAGGUUUAUCCUAUAAUUAAUAUUUAAAUCUUAAUUUAUCUCUAAUAGAUUUAAAUAUUAAUUCUUAUCUAAAUAGGAUUCAACUACAAAUCUAACUAAAUCCUAACAAUCUCCAUCUUGGUUGGAUUUAUAAUCUUCAAUCGCUACGUCGAGCUCACCAUGCAAGCUCCACCUUGAGCUUGUCUCCUCUGCUCGAUGUCGCCGCAUCCGUCGCUCCGCCUCGAGCGACUACACCUCCGCGAACUUUUGGAACCCAAAUCGUCUUUGUUUCCGUUCUGACUAUGCUCCCGUUCAGAACGUAUAAGUUCCCACGCUUGUUCGCCUCACACACGACCCGAUCUCAUUUUCGAACCCUCAUAACUCCACCUAAAGCCGAAAUAUCGCAACCCUUCGAGUCUAAUGCGCCUAACGAGAUCAAAUUUCGCUUCAAUCCAGGAACGUACCGCACACCUGUCAGCGUCCUCACGACCCCAUCGUGCAUUCGGAUCUUCACCGUGCUGACUCCCAAAACUUUGCACGUCGUCCCGUUCCCCAUUAGAGCUUUUUACCUUUGAUCGCCUUAUAGGUCGCAAAAGACUCCUUCUCCGGGCAUACGUGAAAAGAACAUGCCGAAUCGAGCACCCACGCGUCAUCCGAAAUUUUCGCACCUUCAGUCGCAGCAUAUAGCACAUCAGAAUCGAACAUCUCUGACUCUGCCGUCUGUGCCGUCGCUGAUACCGUCUCGUCCUGGUUCACGACAGUUUUCUCCUUCUGUCGCUUUAACUCCUUCAGAUCAUCCUGAAGUUUUCGACAGUUGCGCUUUAUAUGCCCUUUCCUGUGACAGUAAAAGCACUCCACUUCAGAUAGCGGCUUCUUCUGUCGAUCUCCGGUCGCUGAUGUUGUCGCCUCCUUUUUCGCUCUCACCACCAAAGCAGUAUCAUGUCUCUGCGUGCCGGACUCCUGAGUCAUCUUCCGCAUCUCGUUCAAGAGAAGCGCCGCCGUGACCGUCUCCACGCUUAUGGUCUCCUUGCCAUAAAGCAACGUGGUCACCAGAUGCUCAUAUGUCGCCGGUAGCGAAGAUAGUAAAAUCAGCGCCUUAUCUUCGUCACCCAGAUUGACUACGAUGCUAGUCAACUGGGCCACCACCUUGUUGAACUCGUUCAAAUGAUCAUGUAGGCUUGCCGCUUCCUGCAUCCGCAGCGUAAACAAUCGCUGCUUCUGAUAUAACCUGUUCGUCAAGGAUUUGGUCAUGUACAGAUCUUCUAGUUUCUUCCACAACUUCGCUGGUGCCGUCUCACUGGCUACAUUGUAAAGAACCUCAUCUGCUAAUAAUAGAUGAAGCGUACUCAGCGCCUUUCGCUCCAUCUUCAUCCAUGCCGCAUCCGUGACCUCCGCCGGCUUCGCCUCCUUCCCGUUCAACUUCUCGUCCAAUUCUUGUUGUACGAGAAUCGCUCGUACUUUAAUUUGCCACAAUUCGAAAUUGUUCUUGCCGUCGAACUUCUCGAUUUCGAAUUUCGUGGCCAUCUUCGUCGAUCUCUCCCUCGGAUCGAUAACCUUCAGCUCUGAUACCACUUGUUGGGAAUCCGGUACUUGCCCCGGUACCGGAUCUUGUAAAUCCGCCACCCGCUCCGAUACCGACUGUUGUGAAUCCGGUACCGAUGGUUGGGAUUCCGCAACGGAAACGUCAAAUCAGAUUUUUACCAUAAACCCGUCUUCUCAGCAAAAGCUGAUACAAUCAUAAAAGAGAGAAAAAAUCAAAACAGAAAAUAUGCGGGUAAAAUAAGAUUCAUUAAAUAAGAGAAGAUUACACCUGACUCAUCUUCUGCAUAGAGUAGCUACAACCCGAGCCCUCUUUCUUGAAUCUCUCCUACCCUUCUCUCGUCUUCUAUAAUUCCACAAAUAAGACAAUCAUUCACGCGCACCCGUGCACUAGGUGCACUUAACUCAUUAACUCUCUCUCUCUCUCACUUUUUUCUCUCGGGUACAACACACCCCACAAGAGACUCUUUUUUCUCUUGACCGUACCCAUCCUGAAAAGAGAGCCGCAAUACCUAUUUAUAAUGCUCAACUUAAAACGUACCCAAUCCUAAUAUAUUUAGGAUUCCGACUUUAAUUAAUAUCUAAAUCUAUUUUAAUUAAUCUCUAAUAGAUUUAAAUAUUAAUCCUAAUCUAGUUAGGUUUAUCCUUUAAUUAAUAUUUAAAUCUUAUUUUAUAUCCAACAGAUUUAAAUAUUAAUUCUUAUCUAAAUAGGAUUCAACUACAAAUCUAACCAAAUUCUAACAAUAGUCCGAUAACUUUUUAAUCAAUCUUAGCUAUUCAUCUUUCUAAAAUUUU
rnacentral:lncRNA from 1 species